rnacentral:rRNA from 1 species
GACGAACGCUGGCGGCGUGCCUAAUACAUGCAAGUCGAGCGGAUGACGGAGGAGCUUGCUCCUCCUGAUUCAGCGGCGGACGGGUGAGUAACACGUGGGCAACCUGCCCUGUAGAUUGGGAUAACUCCGGGAAACCGGGGCUAAUACCGAAUAAUCCUUCGGACCUCAUGGUCCGAUGUUGAAAGACGGCAUCUCGCUGUCACUACAGGAUGGGCCCGCGGCGCAUUAGCUAGUUGGUGAGGUAACGGCUCACCAAGGCCACGAUGCGUAGCCGACCUGAGAGGGUGAUCGGCCACACUGGGACUGAGACACGGCCCAGACUCCUACGGGAGGCAGCAGUAGGGAAUCUUCCACAAUGGACGAAAGUCUGAUGGAGCAACGCCGCGUGAGUGAAGAAGGUUCUCGGAUCGUAAAACUCUGUUGUGAGGGAAGAACAAGUACCGGAGUAACUGCCGGUGCCUUGACGGUACCUCAUUAGAAAGCCACGGCUAACUACGUGCCAGCAGCCGCGGAA